AUAUUCUAGGAAACUUGGUGAGGGAUCCCAUUAGUUAAUAACCACACUACAUGCAGUCAUAAAAGGAUUCCUCAAAGGGAUAGUUAAGACCAUUGUAAGAAUGUCUUCCUUGAUAAAUGGGAAAUGAUCCCUGAGCAGACAUGGGGAAUGGAAACGUGACUCAUGGCACUCCCUUGAUAUAGGAAUGAUUCCCUCAUUUCUGAGGACCUGACAAAUUGUCCCUAAGAAGAGAGAAUGGAACGUUGCUUAGAGAUGGCUUACUCAGGACCUAGCCUCCUGUUGCCAGUCUUGACCAGACCCUGCCAAGUUAAGGAAGCUUUCCAUCUGAUUUCUUGUCAGUAUUUGUAAUUUGUAGUGAAAACUUUUUUGUACUUGUCCUCUGAGCGUUCGUGAUUAAUUGUGCUCUGGGUAGGUUAUUACACACAUCAUCUACUUUGAUUCAUAGGAGUUUCUGUUUGGAGAGAGGAGCUAGAAAUGAAACUGCCUGUAGACUAUAACUUUCUGACCUUAUCCAGGAUGUGGUUUCUUUUUAGUACUCUUGGGAGGCUGGAGAAAAUGGUAGGAAGACAGUCAGUACUGUCCAAUGUUUGGAACAAAUCUCAAGGACCAGGACUAUGUUUAUCAUGUCUUCUUUUAAUAUUUCACAUGGUCAUGGGAAUGUUACGGAUUCUUGCUGUGGUUCAAUUUUCCCACUUGGAAAACAGAUUAGAAUUUCUGUCUGCCUUCUUUAUACUAUUGGCUACAUAGAACUUCCCAGGAAAUCCCAGGAUCUGAAGCUUACUUGUGGGUCAUAAGGGGAGAAAUGUGUAUGUACAUGUAUGUUAAUUCAUAUUUAGUAUAUAUAUUUUAUGUUAGUAUGUUACCUAAUUAAACCAGUGUUUAUACUCCAUUUUAAACAAGGCUCUCAUCAUUACGCACUCUCAGGAUAGAGAAAAAAAAGCAGUGUUUAGCUUUGUGAACAAAAUAGUAAACACAAGCACAAGUAAUCAAUUUACAAAGCAUAUCAAGCAUCAUUAUGAUGUGCCACAAAAGCCACAUAGAUACACACAGAGCUGCCUAAUCUUAAUUUUAAGCAAAAACAAAACAAAACAAAACCACCACCACCAACAACAAACUAAGAACCCUAAGAACCAAAAUGAUUUCUUUUUUUUAAAAAAGAAACUAAUCUGACAAACAAGUAACUAACUCUAAAGUGAACUGGACUGACAGGGAACUACGGUUUCACCUUCUGAAUCAAGACUGAUAAUUAGCUAAUGAUAAUUACCAUUCAGACCUAAACCAAUACAGGAUGUAUGUUAAAAUAAAGAUGGAAUAAGAACUAAUAAUCAAGGGCUGGCUGGUUAGCUCAGUUGGUUAGAGUGGGGUGUUAUAACACCAAGGUUCAAAAGUUCAAAUCCCCAUAUACCAGCCACCAAAAAAACCCAAAAAAACUUAAGAACAAGUAAUCACAGCAGGAUUGAUUUAACAAAUUAUUCAUUUUUCUUGUUUACAUUGCCAAAACAAAUCGUGAGUUUAACAAUUUCUUAGUUAAGAUCUUUCAUGCCAAAAAGUUAUUCAAUUUUUAAAUUUUCACAAAUAUAUUUUUAUUUCAUAAAGUACUAAUUUCAUUAAGGAGCCAAAAUUAACCAACACUGGACUAUGCAGAUCAAUCAGGAUCUAAGAUUUAAAUUUUUUAAACUGAGAAAACUUAGGCACAAUUUACAAAUUUGCUAAUUAUUUGUCCCCGUAUAACCCUUGGGUGUGGCUGUAUAUACGUUUAUAUUACACGUGUGACAUCAGCUGAACCAGGAAGAAAAUCUCCUGCUCUAAGUACAUUUUUACAACUGUUGUCUCCAGUCAAGUAAGACUAUAGAGAAAAAGUGAUUAAUUCUGGAACUCACCGAGAAGGUUCUAGAUCAAGACACAAGACUCUAGUAGCAUUGUCUUAUUUAUUAACAUAAUCGAAACAUUUUGCUGAUAAAACCCUUGUCCGUGACUAUUCUAGCAACAAAAUUUUACUCAAAAUACUUCACUGUGGAAUGGUAUUGCAACUUGAAUGUAGUUUUUAAUCAAUGAAUUGAUUUCCAUAAAGCAAAUUUUACUCUUAAAAUGGCAGAUUAUGUGACCAAAAAGUGAUUCGAAAAAAGCUUCCCCCUCCCCAUGCCAACCCUCAAGACCACGUGGCUCAAGCUGAGCCCUGGGUCCUGGGACUAGACGGAAGGUGAAAGGAAAGAGCCGUAACUCUUCCCUAACUAACCGAAACAGGCUAAUAGGACACUCCAAACUCACACUACAGAGAAAGCACAUGGAGGGUUGAGUUUUCUGGGCAGCUAGGAGGGUGCAGACUGGAUGACCUGGGCAGAGCACGUUCACCAUCAUUACCACGAUGCUAUUCCUAAGGUGUCCUAACUGUCUGAGCUGCAAAA